rnacentral:rRNA from 2 species
GAGUUUGAUCUUGGCUCAGAUUGAACGCUGGCGGCAUGCCUUACACAUGCAAGUCGAACGGCAGCACGGGAGCUUGCUCCUGGUGGCGAGUGGCGAACGGGUGAGUAAUGCAUCGGAACGUAUCCUGGAGUGGGGGAUAACGUAGCGAAAGUUACGCUAAUACCGCAUAUUCUGUGAGCAGGAAAGCGGGGGACCUUCGGGCCUCGCGCUCUUGGAGCGGCCGAUGUCGGAUUAGCUAGUUGGUGAGGUAAAGGCUCACCAAGGCGACGAUCCGUAGCAGGUCUGAGAGGAUGAUCUGCCACACUGGAACUGAGACACGGUCCAGACUCCUACGGGAGGCAGCAGUGGGGAAUUUUGGACAAUGGGGGCAACCCUGAUCCAGCCAUGCCGCGUGAGUGAAGAAGGCCUUC